UGCGGAUUGAUGUAAUAGUAACAUGCCUGGCUCAUGACCAGUUUAUAGAGGUGCGAAUCCUUUGUCCGUUA
rnacentral:tRNA from 1 species